AGGGUUGUGCUUCCAGAUGUCACUGCUGCUCAGGAGACUGGACAGGCUGGGCGGCUCAUGGUCUCCUGGCGCGUGCCUAGGUUGAGCAUCUUAUGUUUGAAGAAAGGGUUUUGCUCUAUUUUGGUCAAACCAGCUCCUCUCCCUGUCUCUUCGGUUGCAAAGUAAAUUGAAAAAGAACCUUCUCAAACAAACCGAAUCAAGACCACAGUUUUAAAAGUUGCUCCUUAGUCUGAAGUACACUGAGGAAGCGCAGCCACCUUGCCUGGGGCAGGAGAAAUCUGGUUCCACUGUGAGGAAGAGGUGAUUCAUCACAGUCUCCAGCUUCCUGCUUCUCUUCAA